UCCUCAGCUAGGGUAAUCCUUACCUGUCCCUCUUUUUGGAANGCAGAUAGAAAAUGAUGAUUGGAGUUUUUGUGUAACCAGAACCCACAGCAUCUUGAUUGUUCCUAUCUGUG
rnacentral:snoRNA from 1 species